AGCAGCCGCGGUAAUUCCAGCUCCAAUAGCGUAUAUUAAAGUUGUUGCAGUUAAAAAGCUCGUAGUUGAAUUUCGGGAUUGACGUGAUGGUCGUGCCUUACGGGGUAUGAACUGUUGCAGUCAAUUUCUCACCUUCUGGAGAAGUAUGAUGUCCUUAAUUGGGUGUCAUAUGGAACCAGAACUUUUACCUUGAAAAAUUAGAGUGUUUAAAGCAGGCUUAUUGCUCGAAUACAUUAGCAUGGAAUAAUAAAAUAGGACGGCAUGGUUCUAUUUUGUUGGUUUCUAGGAUCACCGUAAUGAUUAAUAGGGAUAGUUGGGGGCAUUAGUAUUCAAUUGUCAGAGGUGAAAUUCUUGGAUUUAUUGAAGACUAACUACUGCGAAAGCAUUUGCCAAGGAUGUUUUCAUUAAUCAAGAACGAAAGUUAGGGGAUCGAAGACGAUCAGAUACCGUCGUAGUCUUAACCAUAAACUAUGCCGACUAGGAAUCAGACGAUGUUAAUUUUUAAUGACUCGUUUGG
rnacentral:rRNA from 1 species